AUGGGACACUGGCACGAAGAAUGUGGCACAGGAGAGCAUGAUGUGAGUAAGUUUGAAUGGGGGAGUUUUUUGCUUGCCACAAGGAGAGGCAGAGGAGGAGGCCGUGGUGAUCGAAGCUCAAGCGAUCGUCAGAGAAGUGGGAAAGAGGACUACAGUACCCGUGGUAGGGGUCCUGGAAGAGGAUUUGGUCGAGAACAUGCAAGUAAUAUGGACCAGAGCCACCCUGUUGAUCUAAAAAAUGGGGGAACAACUCAUGUUAGUUGGAGGCAUAACUCUGUACAUAAUGCAAGUGCAGGUUUAGAAAUUGUGGCUGGAGGGGGUUUUGGCCCAGUUACUAAUAGUCAGGAUGUGAGGACGGCAAUGGCCUCGGACAAUAUCUUGGGGAAGAGGUUAGCAGCGGAUAGUAAUUCGGGUGCUUCUUCUGAGAUGAUAACAGGGUCUGAUUUGGUGCCGGGGACGACCCUUGUUUCUUAUACUGAAUCUAAAUCAGAAGCUACCCCUGAAACAGCGACAGUGGCAGGAAAAGCCAGCAUGUUUGAAGGAGAAACAGAGGAGGAGGAAGACAAAUCCACCCUUGUGGGUACACCCCAAAAAAAUGCAAACAGAAAGAAGCUGAGAGGACGUGAAGGCCAGGCGGUGGACAGUAACUUCAACAUGACAAAUGAAGCAGGAUCGACGACACCCCUCGAGGGUGAUCGCCGGGAGCAAUGA
rnacentral:rRNA from 1 species